rnacentral:tRNA from 2 species
UACAUUUAAGUGUAUGAUGCACGUCAGUUUUUGAUACUGAAAGAGGCAGUUUGAUUCUGCCAUAUGUAA